AUUGAACGCUGGCGGAAUGCUUUACACAUGCAAGUCGAACGGCAGCACGGACUUCGGUCUGGUGGCGAGUGGCGAACGGGUGAGUAAUGUAUCGGAACGUGCCCAGUUGUGGGGGAUAACUGCUCGAAAGAGCAGCUAAUACCGCAUACGACCUGAGGGUGAAAGCGGGGGAUCGCAAGACCUCGCGCAGUUGGAGCGGCCGAUAUCAGAUUAGGUAGUUGGUGGGGUAAAGGCUCACCAAGCCAACGAUCUGUAGCUGGUCUGAGAGGACGACCCGCCACACUGGGACUGAGACACGGCCCAGACUCCUACGGGAGGCAGCAGUUGGGAAUUUUGGACAAUGGGCGCAAGCCUGAUCCAGCCAUGCCGCGUGCGGGAAGAAGGCCUUCGGGUUGUAAACCGCUUUUGUCAGGGAAGAAAAGACUCCUGUUAAUACCGGGGGUUCAUGACGGUACCUGAAGAAUAAGCACCGGCUAACUACGUGCCAGCAGCCGCCGUAA
rnacentral:rRNA from 1 species